AGUGAACGCUGGCGGUAGGCCUAACACAUGCAAGUCGAACGGCAGCACAGUAAGAGCUUGCUCUUACGGGUGGCGAGUGGCGGACGGGCGAGGAAUACAUCGGAAUCUACUUUUUCGUGGGGGAUAACGUAGGGAAACUUACGCUAAUACCGCAUACGACCUACGGGUGAAAGCAGGGGAUCUUCGGACCUUGCGCGAUUGAAUGAGCCGAUGUCGGAUUAGCUAGUUGGCGGGGUAAAGGCCCACCAAGGCGACGAUCCGUAGCUGGUCUGAGAGGAUGAUCAGCCACACUGGAACUGAGGCACGGUCCAGACUCCUACGGGAGGCAGCAGUGGGGAAUAUUGGACAAUGGGCGCAAGCCUGAUCCAGCCAUAACGCGUGGGUGAAGAAGGCCUUCGGGUUGUAAAGCCCUUUUGUUGGGAAAGAAAAGCAGCAGGUUAAUACCCCGCUGUUCUGACGGUACCCAAAGAAUAAGCACCGGCUAACUUCGUG
rnacentral:rRNA from 1 species